rnacentral:lncRNA from 1 species
AUGGAUCUCAGGGGGGAAUGUAUAUGUGAAAAAUCUGUUACCCUAAAAAAGAACUACAUUUCCUGGGAGCCCACUGACUUCCUGUCGUUAUGUACUUCCUAUAGACGGGAUAUAAGGCGGGGAUAUGGAGGAUCCUGUGCUCUUUUCAGUUUGCAGCAAGCAUGGAGGCAGUGGAGACCCUGGACAUGAAUGGAUAACCCGAGCUUUAACCAACUGUCCCCUGGAGAAGCCUAAGGAGCCAAGGAAUGGAAGAAAUGAAGCCUCUUCCACUGUCUUCUUUGAGGUCAAGCUCCCCCAGAUUUGACCCAGUCUGGGUCCAGAGUAGAAGGGACUCCUUAAUGGAGAGAGAAAGAGGGAGAGAGUCUUUGUACUGCAGACUCAACAGAUGUUUUAUUGUUAGACCGAAUGAAUGAAUGAAUGAAUGAAUGAAUGAAUGAAUGAAUGAAUACAUUAAUGGUGGUUAUACAAGUGGAUACACAAUCGAGGGAUGGAAACCAGAGCCCCUGGACUAGACCCCCUACAUAUUCUUUGGUAGAAUGGCUUUCCCAGGGAAGCAAAGGACCUGCAG